CAUGACUCCCAUAUGUUUUGAUAUAGUAAAAAUGAUUUAUCUCCCAAAUUGUUGCACCCGGGUUUCGGGGCACCAAGACCCAGGCGCGAACAUAAUCACCAGGUGUGAUGGGACCAAAUCUCACACAUAUGAUGAAUCAUGAUACAGAAACGAAUGUCACAUAUUUACUAUAUAAUAGGAGUUCUAUACAAAAUAAAUAAAUAAUUACAUCAUAAGGAGACAACGAUCCAGCAACCCAAAGUUGACUGGGAGACGAUGGCCUAGACUUCUCACGAACUCAUCACAGCAUCCUCCAUGCGCCUCAUCCUGCGGUACGUGUUCUUGACCUGUGGGGGUGUGAGACAACAAGGAUGAGCUCACAUACGUUCAUCGCUCAACAAGUUGUGGGGAAUAAUAUGCAUGAACUUGCCAAAGGUGGGAGCUCAUGUGAAGUGUAAGGCUUACCAAAGAGGAUGGCUAAAGCUGAGCAUUGCUUUUAAAGUUGGUCAAAAUUUUAUUAGCAGUUACUAAGUGUAAGUAGAUACCAACCCAAAUAAGUAAUAGAUCAAAAUUUAUAACAACACCCGUGAUGCAAUGCAUAUGACAAAUUAAGUUUAGUUCCAUAAAUUACUCAUGUGAGUGUCCGAGCUGCUCAUGACCGUGAGCAUGGCUGAUAUACCAGUUUUACACUCUGUAGAGGUUGCACAUCUUUACCCACAAGUCAUGUUACCCAUUUGCCAAUAGGUCAUGUAUCACAUACACCUCUACCAAGGAAGCGAGGCAGGGUAACACUACGAGGCCUUUACAAAGUUCCACUAGCUUCAGAAAACCUGCUACAGUUUCUAGGAAGCUCCAAUGCAGGGAUCCCUCGCCUGACAGCCAUCGCAGCAAAAUCAACCCAAGGACCUCCCUACAAUGACCACUCCCCUACUGCCCUUGCCCCUUUCGGGUAAGGUAGUCAUUCACUAGUUUUCCUAAUUAAUCAGCCAAGGGCGUCCCAUACCACCCUUGUGGUAGCACUGUUUUCUCGGGUGGUUCUCCAUGUUCCAAUUAACAAUAUGAUCUUAUCAUGAACAAUAAUCAAACAACAACAUAAUUGGAACAUGAUCAUAAUGAACAUUAGUUUCCCAAAACUAGGUAGAGCAAUAACAAAUGUACCCAAUAAUUCAUCUGUUUACAAGGCAGGGAAUAAACAAUGGUAGUUAAACCUAUUAGGUCCCAUCAAAUUAACCUGAUGCAUGUCACAAUGAUUAACAGCGAACAUUAUUAGGUAAAAAGGAGCGAUCAAGGGCACAACUUGUCUGGGACUCAAGAUUCCAGGUACAAGGAGGAUCUUGAGAUUAUCGUAACCUUGCUGCUAAUCGUAGCAAUACAAACAAACAUAGUAUAGGAAAAAUUAACAUCACACCAAACAUAAGCACAAAUUGCAGAAUAAUGUUCUACGCGUUGCUAUGAGACCGUGGGUUCGAGAACUACUAAAAUUGGAGUUACGGUUACAGAGUUAUGAUUUACUGAAGAUUUAAGUGUUGGCUAUAAAAUAAACUAAGUGCAUAAUUUUAACUUAGGUUUCAUAAUAAACUAAGGUUACCAAAGGAUAAACAAUAUUAAUAUGAACCCAAUGCAACUGGAAUGGAUCAAAAAGGAAUUAAAAUAAAGAAGUUAUGAAUUUAUUAGUGUUUAGGGAAUUAUUUUCUCUAUUAGAAUCAUUUCCUGAUUUGUUUUAUUAAACUGGAACUCAAAUUUGGACUAUGUGCACCAAUAGCCGAGGACCCAGGGUCUUUAUUGCAAAUACUUGGGCCUAUGUGUAUUCAUCUUCUCAGGCGAAUGGACUGCGGGUUCUUUUGAAGAAAACCGAGGGGUCUCUUUGAAACUUUGCCCGCAAAGGGGUAUUUUCACGUCACAGCCGUUGGAUCGCGAUCCAAGGGUGUAAAUUAGAUCAAUAUCUGUUUGAACCAGUAUGCUCUCGAGACCAAGGGAUCAAUAUCUGUCCAAAUCAGGAUUGACGGCUAGUAUUCAUCCUACGAAGAGGUAUGAGCUAGAUCUGAUCUUGGCCCUUAUUCACUCGAUGGACGGCUCACAUAUCCCCGCCCGUCCUUCCAGUGGCCACCCACGGCGGCGCAGAGCCCAUACGGAGGCACCCCCCGCUGGAGACUCGUGAGGCCAUUCCCGGGCCCCUAACCCUGAUCUAUUUGGUGCUACACGAAGAGAGGACAAAAGCGAACAUAAUAGGUAGCGAUUUACCGUUGGUCGAUUAGCGGAGUUCCCCACCCAUGGUGAAGGAUGGAUCCGCGGUGGCGCCCAUGCUCCAUCGACAAUCCCAAGCGUCCCUAACAUCAACCCUGCCUGGUGAUGCCACGGGAGUCCUCCACAUGACCUACGAAGUAUCCCAGGCUGGACGCAGAUGCCACAUCAUUGAUGCACACGUGGAUUAACGAAGGCGACGAUCUCCCACCAUCUCUCCGACCGCACCCUCAGCCCCCGUUGAGGUGCACACACGAGCCCAAGGUUAUUUCGGCUGUGGGGACAUAAGGACGAGGCGCAAAGCUUCCUUUUAUACCUAGGGCCCGAGUCCAAC
rnacentral:lncRNA from 1 species